ACUCCUACGGGAGGCAGCAGUAGGGAAUCUUCCACAAUGGACGAAAGUCUGAUGGAGCAACGCCGCGUGAGUGAAGAAGGGUUUCGGCUCGUAAAACUCUGUUGUUAAAAGAAGAACAUAUCUGAGAGUAACUGUUCAGGUAUUGACGGUAUUUAACCAGAAAGCCACGGCUAACUACGUGCCAGCAGCCGCGGUAAUACGUAGGUGGCAAGCGUUGUCCGGAUUUAUUGGGCGUAAAGCGAGCGCAGGGUCGGUUUUUAAGUCUGAUGUGAAAGCCUUCGACUCAACCGAAGAAGUGCAUCGGAAACUGGGAAACUUGAGUGCAGAAGAGGACAGUGGAACUCCAUGUGUAGCGGUGAAAUGCGUAGAUAUAUGGAAG
rnacentral:rRNA from 1 species